rnacentral:rRNA from 1 species
UACGUAGGGGGCUAGCGUUGUCCGGAUUUAUUGGGCGUAAAGAGCGUGUAGGCGGCCAGGUAGGUCUGGUGUGAAAACUCGAGGCUUAACCUUGAGAUGUCAUCGGAAACCAUUUGGCUAGAGUCCGGAAGAGGAAAGUGGAAUUCCUGGUGUAGCGGUGAAAUGCGCAGAUAUCAGGAAGAACACCAAUGGCGAAAGCGGCUCACUGGACCACAACUGACGCUGAGGCGCGAAAGCUAGGGGAGCAAACAGG